CACGUAGGGCGCAAGCGUUGUCCGGAAUUAUUGGGCGUAAAGAGCUCGUAGGCGGUCUGUUGCGUCCGCUGUGAAAACCCGGGGCUUAACCCCUGGCUUGCAGUGGAUACGGACAGACUAGAGGUAGGUAGGGGAGAAUGGAAUUCCCGGUGUAGCGGUGAAAUGCGCAGAUAUGGGGAGGAACACCGGUGGCGAAGGCGGUUCUCUGGGCCUUACCUGACGCUGAGGAGCGAAAGCGUGGGGAGCGAACAGG
rnacentral:rRNA from 1 species